rnacentral:rRNA from 1 species
GUGGGGAAUAUUGGACAAUGGGCGCAAGCCUGAUCCAGCCAUGCCGCGUGAGUGAUGAAGGCCUUAGGGUUGUAAAGCUCUUUCAGUGGGGACGAUAAUGACGGUACCCACAGAAGAAGCCCCGGCUAACUUCGUGCCAGCAGCCGCGGUAAUACGAAGGGGGCUAGCGUUGUUCGGAUUUACUGGGCGUAAAGCGCACGUAGGCGGAUCGUUAAGUCGGGGGUGAAAUCCUGGAGCUCAACUACAGAACUGCCUUCGAUACUGGCGAUCUUGAGUCCGGAAGAGGUGAGUGGAACUCCUAGUGUAGAGGUGGAAUUCGUAGAUAUUAGGAAGAACACCAGUGGCGAAGGCGGCUCACUGGUCCGGUACUGACGCUGAGGUGCGAAAGCGUGGGGAGCAAACAGGAUUAGAAACCCUAGUAGUCC